rnacentral:rRNA from 1 species
UCCAGAAUAACUAGCCCCGCCCAUAAAGCACAACAAAUUAUGUUAAUAACCCCAUAUUUUUUAACCCACUUAAAUAAAACAUUUUUAGCCACAGUACGGGAGACGGAAAUGGAGCCCUGGGAGCUAUAAAUAAAGUACCGCAAGGGAACGCUGAAAGAGAGAUGAAAUAGCCCAGUAAAGGAGCCUGAAGCAGAGCUAAGCCCUCGUACCUUUUGCAUCAUGAGUUAGCUAGUAAUCCCCGAGCAAAACGCUUUUUAAGUUCGGACCCCCGAAACUGGGCGAGCUACCCCAGGGCAGCCUGUUUAGGGCACACCCGUCUCUGUUGCAAAAGAGUGGGAAGACCUUCGGGUAGAGGUGACAAGCCAACCGAGCCCAGCUAUAGCUGGUUGCCUGGGAACAGAAUAGAAGUUCUACCUUUUGAAUUAUUUGACCCUAAUUGGAACCCCAAAGGCAAGGACCAGAUAAAUCAAAGGAGCUAUUCAAAGGUGGUACAGCACCCUUGAAAGGAGACACAACUCUACUAAUAGGCUAAGGACCAAACAACACAAGGAACGAUAGCUGGGUGGGCCUGAAAGCAGCCAGCCCCUAAGGAGAGCGUUAAAGCUCAAGAUCAUAACCCUGGCGAUACCGCUAUGCUCCUCUUACGCCGUUUUGAAUACCAGGCCCUCCCAUGCCCCCAUGGGAGAGACACUGCUGACAUGAGUAAUAAGAGGGGAAAGCCCCUCUCUAUGCAGAAGUUUACACCAGAUUGGACCCGCCACUGGAUAUUAACGCCCCCUCCCAGGGGGGACUGAGCCAAAGCUGCUAAUUCUAGAAGCACCCUCAGCCCAUAGCGUUACCCCUACACAGGCCUGCUAACUAGAAAGACGCAAAGGGGGAGAAGGAACUCGGCAACACCCUGCCUCGCCUGUUUACCAAAAACAUCGCCCCCUGCUGACAACGUAUAGGGGGUCCCGCCUGCCCUGGUGACAAAAGUUUAACGGCCGCGGUAUUAUGACCGUGCGAAGGUAGCGUAAUCACUUGUCUUUUAAAUGGAGACCUGUAUGAAUGGCACGACGAGGGCUUAACUGUCUCCUUCCCCAAGUCAAUGAAAUUGAUCUGCCCGUGCAGAAGCGGGCAUCCCACCAUAAGACGAGAAGACCCUAUGGAGCUUUAGAGCCCGGGCUGCCUGCAUCCAUGCUAAUCACCACCCCUCAGCAAACCUCGCAGCCACUGCCCGCCUCUUUGGUUGGGGCGACCACGUGGAAAUACAAAACCCCCGAGAGGAAUGAGAAUACCACCCUGAGGCAAGGCCCACCGGCCCAGCCCCCAAAACAUUUGACCUACUAUGAUCCGGCACAGCCGAUCAACGGACCGAGUUACCCUAGGGAUAACAGCGCAAUCCCCUUUAAGAGUCCCCAUCGACAAGGGGGUUUACGACCUCGAUGUUGGAUCAGGACUUCCUAAUGGUGCAGCCGCUAUUAAGGGUUC